UACGUAGGUGGCAAGCGUUGUCCGGAUUUAUUGGGUUUAAAGGGUGCGUAGGCGGUUUUCUAAGUCAGCAGUGAAAUACGGCAGCUCAACUGUCGAGGUGCUGUUGAUACUGGGGAACUUGAGUACUGAUGAGGUAGGCGGAAUGGACGGUGUAGCGGUGAAAUGCUUAGAGAUCGUCCAGAACACCGAUAGCGGAGGCAGCUUACUAAGGAGUAACUGACGCUGAGGCACGAAAGUGUGGGGAUCAAACAGG
rnacentral:rRNA from 1 species